AUUGAACGCUGGCGGCAUGCUUUACACAUGCAAGUCGAACGGCAGCGCGGGCUUCGGCCUGGCGGCGAGUGGCGAACGGGUGAGUAAUGCAUCGGAACGUGCCCCGUAGUGGGGGAUAGCCCGGCGAAAGCCGGAUUAAUACCGCAUACGACCUGCGGGUGAAAGCGGGGGACCGAAAGGCCUCGCGCUAUUGGAGCGGCCGACGUCGGAUUAGCUAGUUGGUGGGGUAAAGGCUUACCAAGCCGACGAUCCGUAGCUGGUCUGAGAGGACGACCAGCCACACUGGGACUGAGACACGGCCCAGACUCCUACGGGAGGCAGCAGUGGGGAAUUUUGGACAAUGGGGGCAACCCUGAUCCAGCCAUGCCGCGUGCGGGACGAAGGCCUUCGGGGUGUAAACCGCUUUUGUUCGGGAAGAAAUCCUCUGGGCUAAUACCCCGGGGGGAUGACGGUACCGGAAGAAUAAGCACCGGCUAACUACGUG
rnacentral:rRNA from 1 species